GUCCAUGAUCCUAUGCUGCCGAGAAAAGCCUCUAGCGAGCUGGUACAUGGCCCGUACCCCAAACCGACACAGGUGGUCAGGUAGAGAAUACUAAGGCGAUCGAGAGAACUGUGGUUAAGGAACUCGGCAAAAUGCCCCCGUAACUUCGGGAGAAGGGGGACCAGUCCUGGUGACGACAUUUACUGUCUGAGCUGGGGUUGGUCGCAGAGACCAGAGAGAAGCGACUGUUUACUAAAAACACAGGUCCGUGCGAAGUCGUAAGACGAUGUAUACGGACUGACGCCUCCCCGGUGCUGGAAGGUUAAGAGGACCGGUCAGCCACUUCGGUGGCGAAGCUGAGAAUUUAAGCCCCAGUAAACGGCGGUGGUAACUAUAACCAUCCUAAGGUAGCGAAAUUCCUUGUCGGGUAAGUUCCGACCUGCACGAAUGGCGUAACGACUUCUCUGCUGUCUCAACCACAGACUCGGCGAAAUUGUAGUACGAGUAAAGAUGCUCGUUACGCGCGGCAGGACGAAAAGACCCCGGGACCUUCACUAUAGCUUGGUAUUGGUGUUCGGUUCGGUUUGUGUAGGAUAGGUGGGAGACUGUGAAACUCGCACGCCAGUGUGGGUGGAGUCAUUGUUGAAAUACCACUCUGACCGUAUUGGACAUCUAACCUCGGACCAUGAUCUGGUUCAGGGACAGUGCCUGGUGGGUAGUUUAACUGGGGCGGUUGCCUCCCAAAAAGUAACGGAGGCGCCCAAAGGUUCCCUCAGCCUGGUUGGCAAUCAGGUGUUGAGUGUAAGUGCACAAGGGAGCUUGACUGUGAGACGUACAUGUCGAGCAGGGACGAAAGUCGGGACUAGUGAUCCGGCACCGGCAAGUGGAAGCGGUGUCGCUCAACGGAUAAAAGGUACCCCGGGGAUAACAGGCUGAUCUUCCCCAAGAGUCCAUAUCGACGGGAUGGUUUGGCACCUCGAUGUCGGCUCGUCGCAUCCUGGGGCUGGAGUAGGUCCCAAGGGUUGGGCUGUUCGCCCAUUAAAGCGGCACGCGAGCUGGGUUUAGAACGUCGUGAGACAGUUCGGUCUCUAUCCGCCGCGCGCGUAAGAAACUUGAGGAAACCUGUCCCUAGUACGAGAGGACCGGGACGGACGAACCUCUGGUGUGCCAGUUGUUCCACCAGGAGCACCGCUGGUUAGCUACGUUCGGAAGGGAUAACCGCUGAAAGCAUCUAAGCGGGAAGCCUGUUCCAAGAUGAGGUUUCUCACCACCUAGCGUGGUUAAGGCCCCCCACAGACCAUGGGGUUGAUAGGCCAGAACUGUAAGCACAGCAAUGUGUUCAGGUGACUGGUACUAAUCGGCCGAGGACUUACU
rnacentral:rRNA from 1 species